CCAGACUCCUACGGGAGGCAGCAGUCGGGAAUAUUGCGCAAUGGAGGAAACUCUGACGCAGUGACGCCGCGUAUAGGAAGAAGGUCUUCGGAUUGUAAACUAUUGUCGUUAGGGAAGAAAAAGGACAGUACCUAAGGAGGAAGCUCCGGCUAACUACGUGCCAGCAGCCGCGGUAAUACGUAGGGAGCGAGCGUUAUCCGGAUUUAUUGGGUGUAAAGGGUGCGUAGACGGGAAUUUAAGUUAGUUGUGAAAUCCCUCGGCUCAACUGAGGAACUGCAACUAAAACUGGAUUUCUUGAGUGCUGGAGAGGAAAGCGGAAUUCCUAGUGUAGCGGUGAAAUGCGUAGAUAUUAGGAGGAACACCAGUGGCGAAGGCGGUCUGCUGGACAGCAACUGACGGUGAGGCGCGAAAGCGUGGGGAGCAAACAGGAUUAGAUACCCGAGUA
rnacentral:rRNA from 1 species